AGCAGCUCUAAUGCAACACCUGCUAAUCACUGGCCCCGGGGCGAGACAGGCAUGUGGAGCUGCCCUGGCAGAGUGGGUUCUCAGAGGUAACGCUGGAAGACAAACCAUUUUCCAAUGUCACAUUUUCAAACGGAACCAACAGGAUGAGGCAGAGCAGCUGUGGCAUUUGUCAUGUGGGACACUUGGGACCUUGAAGAUGCUGGCAGAGGCAAGGCAGAGAGGACAGGAGUUUUGCAGGGGAAAAUGAGACAAAAUGAUUUAGUGACUUACCAUCUUGAAAAAGCUCUGUAAGAAACUCCAGUUAUUUGCUAAAUUAGAGAUGGAAAAACAACAUAGAUUCCCUAAAGGCAACAAUCCAGGAUGUGUCCCACACUGUAGAUUGGGUCGUUCCCGGGCAGUAAAUUUAAAAGGCAGACUUCAUUGCCACUCUUCUCCAUGGAUGCUUUUUCACCAAAUCUCACUCUGACUUGUGUAGGCUACUGACAGAGAUGUGACAUUUACCAUUGUCCAGACCUCAUUGCCUGAAAUUGUCCAAGUGUCUCAAAUCUCCUCUUUUUUAUCUCAUCGUGUAUCCCUGUUGGGUCAACAGCUUCCUUGGAGAAGAAGCUAUAAAAAUACCAUCUCCUUUCUAAGGUUAUGUCUUCCACCUGUCAUCUACUCCUUCUCUAAAUCCUUGGAAGUCAGGACCAGUAUUUUUGGCUGUCGUGGCAGCAGACAAGACCCGUGACACCAUCACACGUCUCAUCUGAAGGUGAGAGCUGACGAGGGCUGGGCAAAUGCCAGUGAUGGAACCAAGGCUGGCUUGGCCCCAGCUGAUCUGCCUCUCCCAGAUGGCCAUGGAUGACCACGUCUGCCCAUCACCUGGCAGCCCUGCCGAGUGGAAGACCAGAUGGGUGUUUGGCUGGAUUUCCAAGCAAGCCACAGCCCCAGGGUUGCUGCAGGACACGCCAGGCAUUCACACCUUGGAGAAGGAGCCAGCUGGCACCCGCUCACCUCCAGCGCCUGCACACCUGGGUGGAACUGGGCAUAAGGUACGGCUGGCUGGCUGCUGAAACUGUGCCCAGAAAUAGAAGAAAUUCCUGUCCUCUGCCCUCCAGACUCUCACCUUGAGCUGUGCUGGAUGCCUGCUAGGUCCAGAGGAGGAUCCUGCUACAGAAAGGGGGCUGCCAGAAUGCCAGGCAGAGGAGCACCACGUAGGAGCUACGUGAAAGAGAUGACAGAUUAUUUGCUCAGGUAUCACUCCC